GACGAACGCUGGCGGCGUGCUUAACACAUGCAAGUCGAACGGUGAACCUCUUCGGAGGGGAUCAGUGGCGAACGGGUGAGUAACACGUGGGCAACCUGCCCCCGGCUCUGGGAUAACUCCAAGAAAUUGGGGCUAAUACCGGAUGUUCACCGCUUCCCGCAUGGGUGGUGGUGGAAAGGGUUUCCGGCUGGGGAUGGGCCCGCGGCCUAUCAGCUUGUUGGUGGGGUAGUGGCCUACCAAGGCGACGACGGGUAGCCGGCCUGAGAGGGUGACCGGCCACACUGGGACUAGGACACGGCCCAGCCUCCUACGGGAGGCAGCGGUGGGGAAUAUUGCGCAAUGGGCGGAAGCCUGACGCAGCGACGCCGCGUGGGGGAUGACGGCCUUCGGGUUGUAAACCUCUUUCCGCAGGGACGAAGCGCAAGUGACGGUACCUGCAGAAGAAGCACCGGCCAACUACGUG
rnacentral:rRNA from 1 species